rnacentral:lncRNA from 1 species
UGUUGACUGAACAAAUAAUAGUUCAUGAGAUUAUGAUUCUUUUCUUGUAGUACCGCGCGUGUGCACAACCAUAAUUUAACCUUGCUUUGGGUUUCCGUUGGUUGGACUAGGACUGGUGAUGGGCCGGGCGGAUCCAUCCGGCACCGGGGAUCGGACGAGAGAUCCGAGGCCGGAAACCUGGAAAGAGACGAGCCGACAUUAAAUUGUCGCUGUGUCCCAAAUGGCAUCGGGAUCCUAAACCGGAAGAUCGAACUCACCACUUCCUUCUCCUCCUCGUCUCUCACGUCACCUGCCAGCCAGCCAGCCAGCCAGCCAGCGGAGCAACGCAGGCCUGCACCUACUCUACCACAACUCCUACGUUGCCAUUUCCAUGGAUCGAUGCACGAUCACUUCUCUAUGCACCGGUAGUAGUAGAUCGAUGCUUCGCCUGGUGCUUCCAAGCCUGAGAUUCCCUGAUAACCCCGGGGCGUAAUGCCGCCAUUAACUAACGUAAUCGCCUUGUCGAAUGGUCAAUUGGUUGCAUCAGGUCAGCCGUGGAGCGCCUUGACUGUUGACUUAACCAUCCGUAUUUAUAUCCGGGCGUUAAUCCAGUUAAGUUGUUGAUUCGAACACUGCUAGGCCUGGACGUUGUGAAAAACAAUGUACGCGCUCCAUGAAUAUUGCUUCUGCUCCCCAUCAGGAGGCGUGCUGGUUUAGAAACUCGGACUAUCAUGACAGGGUGUGAUUGAUGUGCGUUGACUUUCUACUCGCAUCAAUAGUUGCCACUGCUGGUACGGUAUUGACUGCAUCACUCGCUUGACAAAAAAAGAGAUGGUACGUACUCCGCGUGACUAGCCGAGUACCACUUCUGCAACAUUGAAUUGUUCGGAUGAACUUUUCGUCCCCGAUGUACGGAAACAAAAUACUAAAUAUUAUUACCACUUUCCCCCCCCUGUGAGUGGCAGUGUUAGGAAGAAGACACAGGCUAGCAGAUGGAGCCCAAAUCACAGUGCUUUUGAUUUGUUAGAUUGCAUUUGGAACACGGAGAACCAUUUUGCUAAAAUGGAUUAAUUGAUGGAUCGCUGGCUGGUUGAUGGUGAUAUGGCCGGCCUGUGCGAGUGGAGGGAGUAGUACACCAACUACAGCAAAUUCAGGUUUCCAUUUACUCCGAUUCAUUGCUGGCGCGCCCUCAUUAUUUCCCUUAAAUGUUGAUACACUAUCCUGUGCGCGUCAAUUGAAUUGAAUUGAAUUGAAUUCAUUUGGCCGAUCGAGCUCCCGGUGGAUGGACGUAUUUAUCAUGGGAGUAAUCUCCCUCGCUGCGGCUGCAAAGCUGGACUACUCCGCCACUAGUCUGCAGCUGAUGAUGAAUAUAUAUUGGCAUCUUACACUUGAACGAAAAGAAGACCAGUACUGUACGUACGUGCUCCCGCUGCUCUCUCUCUCUCUCUCUCUCUCUCGACAAGUUAAUUUUAGCAGGAAAUUGAGGACAUGAUAUAGUUAGUAGAGCUUAACAACGGCAUUUGCCUUCUUUCACACCUUGGUCUCGUGUCCCUAUCACCGGGAAUAAUGAAGGUCGCAUGAGAUUGGUCAUGAUCAUGGCGACGUUUGCGUUUGUAGCCAUCACAAAUCGGGCAUUUCGAGGUUGAGCUCCGGAUGCGCACAGGUGCGGCACCAGGCGUCGAGAAGACAGUGAACUCGUUUUUUCUUUUUCUUUUUUACCAUUUUCCAGUUGCCCAUCCCCUGCUGUCCCCUCACCCUAGCUAUCUAUCAGCUUGACUAGACACCACGGGUAGGAGUACAUGCAUGACAUCUCCAAGACGUGACGACUGAAAACAAAAAAAAACGAGAGAGAACGUGUGAUAUAUUUGAGCCUUGGCAACUUCUGUGAAAAAGACAGAUGACCUGCUCGAUGAUCAAUGCCUUCUCUCGCACAGGCGGUGCAGAUUUAUGCAAGCCCGUUUGUAGUCAAGCAUCCAGCAUGCUGGUCUGGUGUAUUCAAGGAACCUGUUUAGCAUGGUGAUUGGCGUCUGUCGUCGUUGAAGGAUUGAUUCUCCCAUCGGAUUAUAAUAUAUAAAAGAUGAGGGUCAAGGAACCCGACUGGUGGAACACCGAGGGUGCGCGCGCGUGGCGGCUGCAUGCAUGCGCUAGACCGGCGGCAGUGCUCCGGCCGGGGUGGGUGAAUACACCCCAGCGACCGAGCGCAGCGAAGCGUAAAUGAGCG